CUGCGAAUGGCUCAUUAAAUCAGUUAUCGUUUAUUUGAUAGUACCUUACUACAUGGAUAACCGUGGUAAUUCUAGAGCUAAUACAUGCUAAAAACCCCGACUUCGGRAGGGGUGUAUUUAUUAGAUAAAAAACCAAUGCCCUUCGGGGCUCCUUGGUGAUUCAURAUAACUYAACGAAUCGCAUGGCCUUGCGCCGGCGAUGGUUCAUUCAAAUUUCUGCCCUAUCAACUUUCGAUGGUAGGAUAGUGGCCUACCAUGGUAUCAACGGGUAACGGGGAAUUAGGGUUCUAUUCCGGAGAGGGAGCCUGAGAAACGGCUACCACAUCCAAGGAAGGCAGCAGGCGCGCAAAUUACCCAAUCCCGACRCGGGGAGGUAGUGACAAUAAAUACUGAUACAGGGCUCUUUUGGGUCUUGUAAUUGGAAUGAGUACAAUUUAAAUCCCUUAACGAGGAACAAUUGGAGGGCAAGUCUGGUGCCAGCAGCCGCGGUAAUUCCAGCUCCAAUAGCGUAUAUUAAAGUUGUUGCAGUUAAAAAGCUCGUAGUUGAACCUUGGGCCUGGCUGGCCGGUCCGCCUCACCGCGUGCACUGGUYCGGCCGGGCCUUUCCUUCUGGGGAGCCGCAUGCCCUUCACUGGGCGUGCCGGGGAACCAGGACUUUUACUUUGAAAAAAUUAGAGUGUUCAAAGCAGGCCUUUGCUCGAAUACAUUAGCA
rnacentral:rRNA from 1 species